rnacentral:rRNA from 1 species
CAGAGACUGCAAGCGUUAUUCGGAUUCACUGGGCGUAAAGGGUGCGCAGGCGGCCAAGUGUGUGAGGCGUGAAAGCCUGGAGCUCAACUCCAGAAUUGCACCUCAAACUACAUGGCUAGAGCAUUGGAGAGGGUAGCGGAAUUCACGGUGUAGCAGUGAAAUGCGUAGAUAUCGUGAGGAACACCAGAGGCGAAGGCGGCUACCUGGACAAUUGCUGACGCUCAGGCACGAAAGCGUGGGGAGCAAAAGGGAUUAGAUACCCCUGUAGUCCACGCCCUAAACGGUGCACACUAGGUCUUGGCGGAUUCGACCCCACCAGGGCCCCAGCUAACGCGUUAAGUGUGCCGCCUGAGGACUACGGUCGCAAGACUA